UUCUGGACUAGGUCGGGCAGCUAGGCCCUGCUCGUUACCCGCGGUAUGGCCUUCAGCGGGGACCGAACGCCGAGGGCGUCCGGACCGCCGGGCGUGGGCCUCGCGAGCUAACGUGGAAGCCUCGUCCUUCGGGGACGGCGGUCCGCGAAUUCACACCUGAAGGGGUGUGCGUUCGCGGUUGACCGGGGGCAGUCCGUCAGGCACGGAAGUGAGCAGCGGACCCCUGGACACCCGUCGCUCGAAGGGUUGCGGGGUGGAGGAGGCAAGCGAGAUUCCCCGCGCCCGAACGUCCGGGCAACCCCGGUUGUCCGUCC
rnacentral:SRP_RNA from 1 species